CGGUGCAAUGAGUUUACAAUUAAAAGCGUCUUUUUGUAAAUAGACCGCUUAAAUAUUUAAAAUCGCCUCAAAUUUAAUUGUGUGUUUGCCGGACAUUUGAUUUCAGAUCGUUUUCCAUUGGAAAUUGGUCACAACUCGAAGGGAAUCUCCGAAAAAGGAUGAAACCAUUGGAUAAAUAUGGUUAUGAGAGGUAAUGUGGUUGUUUUUGGGCGGCUAUCAGAAUCCGGAAGAUAGAUGAAAAAGGUCAGCAGCCGUCGGCGUACAUACAUAUAGAAUUUCGAAGAAAAAAAACAUUCAGAGUGAGAGGAAGCAGCAACAAGAAGUUAAAAUAAUAUUUUCCCUCGGUUUCGUAUUUUAGCCAACCGGAAACCCCCUGACUCAUUAUUUUCCUUCUUCAGAGGGCCGAUUGUCCGGAAGGCGGUUAGUGGCGCUAAGAUUGGUUUUGGAUAGUUUCUGUUCCGAGUGGCUGCCGGAGAAAAGCUAUUGAAGGUGCUUGGAAAUUAUUCAAUGUACUAAUUCAGAGCAGAGGAGGAAGAGCUUUUUUAUCGGGCCAGAUUCCAUGAUCCCUACUUCAAUCCAUGCUAGAGCGUGCGGAUGCAAAUCCGUACUGGAUGUUGAGGCCGAUUGAGAUGAAAAUUGCGGAAACCAAGACGAACAGCCGUAUAGCCCUGAAUUUUUUGCCUAAUAUCUAGGCUGCUACUGCCUAUUUCUAUAUUUGCCAUGAAA